rnacentral:rRNA from 1 species
GACGAACGCUAGCGGCGUGCUUAACACAUGCAAGUCGAGCGGUAAGGCCUUUCGGGGUACACGAGCGGCGAACGGGUGAGUAACACGUGGGUGAUCUGCCCUGCACUUCGGGAUAAGCCUGGGAAACUGGGUCUAAUACCGGAUAUGACCUCCUAUCGCAUGGUGGGUGGUGGAAAGAUUUAUCGGUGCAGGAUGGGCCCGCGGCCUAUCAGCUUGUUGGUGGGGUAAUGGCCUACCAAGGCGACGACGGGUAGCCGACCUGAGAGGGUGACCGGCCACACUGGGACUGAGACACGGCCCAGACUCCUACGGGAGGCAGCAGUGGGGAAUAUUGCACAAUGGGCGAAAGCCUGAUGCAGCGACGCCGCGUGAGGGAUGACGGCCUUCGGGUUGUAAACCUCUUUCAGCAGGGACGAAGCGCAAGUGACGGUACCUGCAGAAGAAGCACCGGCUAACUACGUG